GGUAGGCAGCAGCAGAAGAAAGGUAUACAGCCUCUUGCUUUAUAUCCCCUUGAAAAUAUCAAAGUGCAAGCAAAAAACACAAAGAGAGGAAACUACAGAAGCCACACGAUAGGAAGAAGCACCACGACUUCGAGCCAGAAAGUUGGGUGUUCAAGUCUUUGUUAUUACUUAUUACAUCUAAUUGAGAUUUCCUGUUUGGUAGUCAAGGAAAGACGAAAAUGAAAGUACCACAUUGUUAGUUCUGACCAAGGUAUUUAAAUUUUUCUUGUUGUUCACAAUGUGAUGUUAAUUUGAAGCCCUGCUUUUUUUUUUUUUUUUUUAAUGAAGCAUAUCCAUUGUGCAAGAACACGGAUAUGUUCCCUAGAAGCCAAACUAUGUGUAGAAUGCAAGGAGUGUAGUUCGUGUACAUUGCUCAUUCAAAACAAGGUGUAGUAUUUUGUGGCAUCUAAUUGACG
rnacentral:lncRNA from 1 species